rnacentral:rRNA from 1 species
UACGAAGGGGGCUAGCGUUGCUCGGAAUCACUGGGCGUAAAGGGCGCGUAGGCGGCGUUUUUUAAGUCUGAUGUGAAAGCCCGAGGCUCACCCUCGGAAGUGCAUUGGAAACUGGCAGACUGGAGUCCCGGAGAGGAGGGUGGAAUUCCUGGUGUAGCGGUGAAAUGCGUAGAUAUCAGGAGGAACACCGGUGGCGAAGGCGGCCCUCUGGACGGUGACUGACGCUGAGACGCGAAAGCGUGGGGAGCAAACAGG